GACGAACGCUGGUGGCGUGCUUAACACAUGCAAGUCGAACGAAGUGGCGAACGGGUGAGUAACGCGUAAUCAACCUGCCCUUCAGAGGGUGACAACAGUUGGAAACGACUGCUAAUACCGCAUACUUACGGAGGGGAUUGCGUCUGAUUCGCUAGUUGGAGGGGUAACGGCCCACCAGGGUGAUGGUUAGUAUCCGGUCUGAGAGGGUGAACGGCCACAUUGGGACUGAGACACGGCCCAGACUCCUACGGGAGGCAGCAGUGGGGAAUCUUCCGCAAUGGACGAAAGUCUGACGGAGCAACGCCGCGGGAGUGAUGACGGCCUUCGGGUUGUAAAGCUCUGUUAAUCGGGACGCGGUACCGGAAUAGAAAGCCACGGCUAACUACGUGCCAGCAGCCGCGGUAAUAC
rnacentral:rRNA from 1 species